rnacentral:tRNA from 1 species
ACCGAAAUAGCUCAGUUGGGAGAGCGUUAGACUAUAGAUCGAAAAAUCCUUGGUUCGAUACCGGGUUCCGGCA